rnacentral:lncRNA from 1 species
UACCGACUAACCUUCUAUUUUAAUUUGUGUACUCACACAACGUCUUAUCCAAUGUCAUGUCUUUGAUAAGCUGAAAUUGCAUCAUGUCAUGUCAAAUUACCUCUCCCAAUACUUCCAUGGUCAACCUCUCACAUCUUCGCACUGGGGUAUUUGUGCAUCUCCUCUUCACAUGUUUGCACCAUCUUAGUCUUGCUUCUGCAUCUUGUCCUCCACCAAAACCACUCUCACCUUAUCCCAAAUAUCCUCAUUUUCAAUGUUAUCUCUCCUAUUAUUCCCACAAUCCAUCGCAACAUACAUAUUCCACAAUUUUCAUAUUCCCCAUCCCCCAUCCCUAGGGCGCCG